CAAUGCUGGCUGAGACAGCAGAGGGCAGGCAGGGUUGGAAAUGCUUGGGGAAAAAAAUCUUGAAGCUGCUUCAGGAAGGGAAGGCUGAAACCAGCGAAGACUCCUGCUCUGGGUGCAGCCCCUGAUCAGCUGAGCUCGUCCAUAAAUGGGAGGAAUGGAAAAUGAAGAAAUUUUCUUUUUCACGUGUUCAGUGAUCUCCGCUGUGUGCUGGUGUAGGCCUCCACCAGUCGUCUGGCUCAGGUUUUGCCCUUUGCUUCUUGUCCUGUCAGUGUCCUGUCACCACAGAGAGGAGUCUGGCUCAUUCUCUUUUGCUCCCCCUGACUACCAUCAGAGAUGACAUGAAUUAUCCUUCUGACACUGGAUCUGAUGUUGAUGCAAGAACCCUGGACUGGCAGAACAGAAGCUGUUCUCCCCUUUCCCAGAUCCAGAUAAUGCCCAGGCAAAAGUGCCAGCAAGUUCAGCUGCAGAAGCACCAGCCCUGCCAGCACUCCUCCCAGUGGUGUAUUUCACUGCAGUAGACAAGAACAGGCUAUCCCUGAAUGAGCAAGUGCCCAGCCACGCAGACCUAUUACAGAUCCUGUUUUCCUACACUUUGUACAUCACAGUGAUAACACUAUUACCACGGGUAAAAUGAAGAGCAUUUCUCAGAAGUAUGCCUUGUGAUUUGUGUUCUGCUUACAGACAGCCUUCUUCUUCCAGAUGGGAUGAUGUGACAAAUAAAUACUUCAGAUCUCUCAGGGAUACUCUACCAUUCAUCUCCCCAUCAGAAGACAGGCUCAGGGGGAGCUGGCAAUGCCCAUUUCCCACCUGUACCACAUCAGGGGCUGCCUGGGUUCCGCUGGCUCUGACCCACACCACCUCUCAGAACCCCACGAUCUGAAGAGUAAAGGCAAGGCGGUGCUUCAGGGAGAAACCAGAAUUCUGACUCUCAGCAUGUAAGUGCUCUUUUGUUCCUUACUCUGGGUUUUCUCAGUGGUAUUUUCAGCCCUGUUUGUCUAGCUGGUGUUGCAGGACACAAACCACAGCGCUGCAGGGGAGCUGUUGAGAAGCUCUGAGACGGCUGCAAGCCCACGCACCGUAUCUGUGAUAGUUUGUGCCAGAGCAUUAUGGCCACAUGCAAAGCAGCAGAUGAAUUAUGUGUGCAACAAGCUGAGGAGGGACCGUGGCCACAGCCUGACAUUUUCCUGCCUGCUGAGCACAGCUUGCAAGGGGAGGAGAGCCAAUGGGAUGACAUGAGGCUGUUUGUCACAGCGCGUGCUUGCUGCCCCUGCGCUGGCUGCAUCCUUUGGUCACACUUCUACUGUUGGCUGUGUGCCUAUUUCUGGGCUAAACUACACAGCCAGGGGCACUGGACCUUGACCUGUUCCUGCAGCACUGUUGUGGCUGGGGCAGCUGGUACUCUUCCCACAAAAAAUCCUGGGCACAAUUUAGACAUUAGCAGGGAUAGGUCAUUUGGGCUUAACUACCUUAUUGCAGAGAGGAAUGGUGUUUAACAGAAUGGAAGUGACUAAAUGGCACAAAUUAGCAGCCAGAUCCGUUUCCUGGCUCUUG